CAGCAGCCGCGGUAACACGUAGGGGGCAAGCGUUGUCCGGAAUUACUGGGCGUAAAGAGCGCGUAGGUGGUUUAGUAAGUCAGGUGUGAAAGGCCAGGGCUCAACCCUGGGACUGCACUUGAAACUGCUUGACUUGAGGGCAGGAGAGGUAAGUGGAAUUCCCAGUGUAGCGGUGAAAUGCGUAGAUAUUGGGAGGAACACCAGUGGCGAAAGCGACUUACUGGCCUGGCCCUGACACUGAGGCGCGAAAGCGUGGGGAGCGAACAGGAUUAGAUACCCUGGUAGUCCACGCCGUAAACGAUGGGUACUAGGUGUAGGAGGUAUCGACCCCUUCUGUGCCGCAGCAAACGCAUUAAGUACCCCGCCUGGGGAGUACGGCCGCAAGGUUGAAACUCAAAGGAAUUGACGGGGGCCCGCACAAGCGGUGGAGUAUGUGGUUUAAUUCGACGCUACGCGAAGAACCUUACCGGGGCUUGACAUCCCGUGCUAUCUGUUGAAAGACAGAGUUCCCUUUUGGGACGCGGAGACAGGAGGUGCAUGGCC
rnacentral:rRNA from 1 species